AGAAGUUUCCCCAGGAGAUAUUAUUGGCAAGAUGUUAGGGGCAGAGCACUCUGGAAGAGUAAGAUGUAUGGAUAUGGGAGCAGCUCCAUCAAACACAUUCGUAAAUAUCAAACGACGAUGUAGCGAGUUGAGCAUGUCUUCCUCUACCUAUGGUGAAUCAUCAACAACUUCUACCUAUUUGCAUAAAAAGAUUGCGCGUUUGGAUUCCCAAUUAGAAGUUACCCUGACUGCGUUGAAGAAUCACAUGAUAUCAAAGAAAGGAGGGAUUCCUGAAGAGUUUGCUAGUUUUUUUCUCCUUAACCAUAGGUAAGAAGUAAAUAUACUUUGUACUUCUUUCGCUAGAACAUAUUCUGAACAGAUUAAUAAUAUUAUACUUCUUUGUGAUAUCAAAUGAAACAGCCUCUGCCUGAGUAACUUUGUUAAAAAUUAAAGUUCAUGCUUGAGUUUAUGAUAGAUUAUAUUCAAAGUAUGGACUUAGUUCUUAAUUAUACAAAGGAGGGUAUAGUUACUUGCCCUCUAGAUGUCUCAAAUUCUUUCUUUGUUUCUUUUGACUAGCUAUGGAAUAGGUAGUUCAAACAUGUGAAUGUCUUUUAUUCUAUGCUCUGACACAAGAUAGUUUUCUGGUUUGGUAUUUUUUGUAUUCACCAAUCAACCUUGUUAAAUUGUGUGCAUUUUAGAGGCUCGAGAUAGGAGCUUUGUAGAAACAUUACUUUGGAGAUUUGUAUUAACUAUCAAUUUUUUUAACUAUGUCAGCCUGCAGAAGCGGAAGAGAAUGAACCUAUUUCACUGGUGGAUGUAAGGGGCUCAUCACCUGAUAACAACGCAAACCUUCAAUUAAAUGCUUAGUGUUUUCUUCGUAGACAACAUAAAUUCUUCAUAUGGCUUUGAAUUUGUAAUAUUUGUCUAGAUGUGUUUACCGUAGUUUAGUUUGAUGUUCAGUCCCUACUUUAGUUUGAUGUUUCAGUACUUUCAUUAGUUUGAUGUUUAGUACCUACUUUAAUUUAAUGUUUAGUACUAACAUUAGUUUGAUGUUUAGUACCUCUUUAGUUUGAUGUUCAACACCUACAUUAGUUUAAUGUUUGGUACUUACAUUAUUUUGAUGUUCAGUAAUUAAAUUUGUCAGAAAUGCGUUCAUAUGGAACUAAACCUAAGCAGUUACCGCAAAUCUUGAUUUCUACCAUUUACUUAUUCUCAGUGCUCUGAGAUAUCAUAAAGUUUCCUCUUAGCCACCAUCUAAGUUGGUUCCUACGAUGACUAUAACUGUCCUUGCAUGAAACCUACUAUCCAUGUUUCUUGUGAAAUGUUAAUCAAAAUUCUACAGAUAUAUAUUUACUGAUUUCACCAAGAUUGUAAAAGACAUGACAAAACUAACUUUCUUUUUAUUUGAAGUGUCGUUUUCUUUUUCGGACAAAUGAGUCCAUUGCAUACAGAUAUUUGUAAUGCUAGUAUCUCAAAGAAGUGGGCUACACAUAGGCAAAGGUUAUGGAAUGAAUAUUUUGGCCCAUCCAAAAGCAAAAAUGAGAUUAUUGGUAAUGUACCAUCUGGUAUAACUAAAGAUCAAUGGUCUAGUUUUGUUGCUUACCGCCUGAAACCAUCAACAAUAGUAAGCUUCAAAUUAUGUUAGUAAAUUUGGUAUUAUCACAAUUAAAUAGAUAUGAAAAUUCUAAGUUGUAUUUGUUUUAUCGACAGGAGCUUUGUAGAAGAAAUAAAGAAAUUCAGUGGAAGCAAAACAAGCCACACACUGGUGGUUCAAAAGCUAACUCAAGAAGACGAUAUGAACUAGUACAACAUUAACUUAAUAAUUUUUCUUUUUAUUUAUUUAAAUUAUUUUAGGAUAAUAUUUGUAAACUAUAAUACAUUCUUUCUUAAUUUCUGGAAACUGGAAAAGCUCCUAGUCGUGGACAAAUGUUUAUUGAAACUCAUAAGAGAAAGAAUGGAUCAUUUGCACUCUUUCUUAAUUUCUGGAAACUAGAAAAGCUUCUAGUCGUGGACAAAUGUUUAUUGAAACUCAUAAGAGAAAUAAUGGAUCAUUUGUGAAUGAUGAGGCUCGAACCAUAGCGGUAAGUAUGACAUCAGUGCAUCUUUUUAAUUAAUUUCAUUGUUACUAUAUAAUUUUCUUCAUCUCAAGUCUUAUUAUUUUUUUCUUGCUAUUUGAUAUUAUAUGCUUGUAGGAACAAAUUGAAUCGCAUAUGACUCAGUGUAACAUCAAUGAGUCAGAAGUUUCCCCAGGAGAUAUUAUUGGCAAGAUGUUAGGGGCAGAGCACUCUGGAAGAGUAAGAUGUAUGGAUAUGGGAGCAGCUCCAUCAAACACAUUCGUAAAUAUCAAACGACGAUGUAGCGAGUUGAGCAUGUCUUCCUCUACCUAUGGUGAAUCAUCAACAACUUCUACCUAUUUGCAUAAAAAGAUUGCGCGUUUGGAUUCCCAAUUAGAAGUUACCCUGACUGCGUUGAAGAAUCACAUGAUAUCAAAGAAAGGAGGGAUUCCUGAAGAGUUUGCUAGUUUUUUUCUCCUUAACCAUAGGUAAGAAGUAAAUAUACUUUGUACUUCUUUCGCUAGAACAUAUUCUGAACAGAUUAAUAAUAUUAUACUUCUUUGUGA
rnacentral:lncRNA from 1 species